UCACCAUGCCUCUGUCAGCCAUGGGGAUCUCCUUAGCCCUCACAUACAUGUUUGUUUCCCCAGGGAGUCUGAUAAAUUCUAAGAAGCAAGCAACAGAAGUUCAAGUCUAUUUAGAGAUGCUAAAUUCGAUGGUACCCAUCUGUUUGCUGAGAAGCAGCAGGUUUCAUGGGCUAUUUACAGCCUGCGGGGAGGUCAUCAGGACAUCCACAGUGGGGAUGUUGGGUUUCUUCAUUUCACCUAUCAGUGACGCUGGAAAGAGGGUGAUGAUGAAAACAGCGAAUGAGGCAAGGCUGAUUUCCAACUGCAUCAGGAAGAAUGCCUUCCCUCUCCUGGAACACUGCUGAUGAAGCUGUGCAUUUGCUGCUUGUCACUAAAUCAAGGAAGGGCCAGAGCCAGCAGGACCCUUCACCUCUCCUUAGUAUCAUAGAAUGGCUUGGGCUGAAAGGGACCUCAAAGAUCGUCUGGUUCCAACCAGCCCCGGGGUCUGCAUCCUAUCAGCACACAUUUGGAAAUUACGGAGAAACAGCAUGAAUAUGAUGUCCUAUUCCACAGCUCUUUGAGCAGCAUAAUGGCAGCGUACAGGCCUCAGGGCAGAGACAUGGAGGGGUUGUAGAUUCCCCUGCUCUCCUCCUGCAAAAGUGUUCUGCACCUUUUCAGCAAGGUGCAAUUUAGGUGUAAAAUAUUUUGCCUCUCCCGUGAGCAAUAAUGCGAGAAGCAAACUGAUUUGGAAUUUGGCCCAGAGAAUUCAUUCAGUAAUAAAUAAUGGAUCACUUUUCA
rnacentral:lncRNA from 1 species